rnacentral:pre_miRNA from 1 species
CAUGCACUGGUGGGGUCCCUCGGCCUGGCCUGCGCCCUCUUGCAAUCCGGGACCCCCUCAGGGGAUGUCGGACUGCCAGUUUCAGCCUAAUCCCUGCAGGCCAGGCCAAGGGACUCCACCAGUACAUG